CGAACGGGUGAGUAAUACAUAAGUAACCUGCCCUAGACAGGGGGAUAACUAUUGGAAACGAUAGCUAAGACCGCAUAGGUACGGACACUGCAUGGUGACCGUAUUAAAAGUGCCUCAAAGCACUGGUAGAGGAUGGACUUAUGGCGCAUUAGCUGGUUGGNGGGGUAACGGCCCACCAAGGCGACGAUGCGUAGCCGACCUGAGAGGGUGACCGGCCACACUGGGACUGAGACACGGCCCAGACUCCUACGGGAGCAGCAUG
rnacentral:rRNA from 1 species